AAUCACAUACAUUCAAUCAUACAAAUUUCACAUAUUGAAUCAUAAAUGAAUCACAAAUUAGAUUAAAUGUUUAUUAGAGAUAAUAGAGUUAUAAUAGAUAUUACAAUUACAAUAGAGUUAAGUGUUUCAAUUACAAUAGAGGUAAAAGUGUUUUACAAUUUUUUUUGUUGAACAAUAUUGGAAAUAUCUAAAGUCUUACCUUUUGGUCGAGGUGUCGAAAUCAAAGUAGUAUCUUCUUCCCAAUAAUUUCUCGAUAAUGGAAUAAGUUGGUUCAACUGAGAAGAAACAAGAACAUUACUCGAUGAUGGACGAUUCGGGUCGUUGCUUGUAGCAUUAGCCUGAAAAUAAAUGAAAAUAUUCAAAAAUUAAUAAAUUUAAAAACUAAUUUAAAAACAUUUAUUAAACUCACAUGUAUAUUGUCAAUUAACCGUUGUUCCAUCAUUUUAAAUCGUUUUUCGUUUUCUAUUUCGAACGCUUCCAUUCGUUUUUCAACGGCUUUGGAAACUGCCAAUUCAAAUUCUUCAGUGUUGUUUCAAAUAAAUUGUUCAUCAAUCAAUGGUUCCAAAUAAACGUCAAUUUCUUUUUUUGGACCUUUAGGACCGGGAAUCAACAUAGUUAAGAACAUAAAUUGUUGUUUGUUACACAUCCACGGAAGAAGAUUGUACGGUGUGACGAUCACUGGCCAUAAAGAGUAUUGUGAUGAAGAAUGACCGAAAGGAUUGAAUCCAUCUGUAGAAAGACCAAGCCUCACAUUUCGACCAUCAGAUGCAAAUCUAGGAUGAAUACUAUCAAAAUGCUUCCAAGCUUUGCCAUCAGACGGAUGUCGUAACUUAUUAGGGACCUCUUGACGUCGUGUACUAUGCCAUACCAUUUCUUUCGCAAUCCUUGAACAAUGGUAUAGUCGUUGUAGUCGAGGGAGGGAUCAAAGGAAAAUAACGAAGAAUUUUAACGAAAAUAUCACGACCACCGCUUGUCCGUGUCUUAAACCUUGGUUCACGGCAUGUCGGACAUUCAGUUAACUCUUUAUAUUCUUUUCGAUACAAUAUACAAUUGUUCGUGCAUGCAUCUAUUUUUUCAUGUUUCAAAUCAUGGUUUUUCAAUUUUUGUUUAGCCUUAUAAAACGUAUCUGGAAGCUUGUUAGGUUUUGGCAUGAUUUUCUGAAUAGUUUUCAUCAAGGUAUCGUAGCCUUUCACAGAUAGUCCAUAGGUUGAUUUAAGAUACAUUAAUUCUGUCAAGAUCUCCAAAACAGAUGCAUCGCAACCUUCAUAUACUUUCGCAUAACCAGAAUUUAGCAAAUCGUAAAACUUUUGGGCUUCAUCAUUCUGUUCUUCAUCAUGUAAAUCAAAUGGUCUACUUGCAUCGUGGACCAUGUCGACAAAUGGAUUAGUGUUAAUACGUUCAUCAUCGACCAUUUCAACAUCAUUUAUAGUGAUGCAUUCAUCUACACGUACUCUUUUCCUUGGUUCUCCAUGUCGGUCCCAAUUAGUGUAAUCACUCAUAAAACCGGACUUGUAAAGAUGAACUGUCAUUAUAUCUCUNNNNNNNNNNNNNNNNNNNNNNNNNNNNNNNNNNNNNNNNNNNNNNNNNNNNNNNNNNNNNNNNNNNNNNNNNNNNNNNNNNNNNNNNNNNNNNNNNNNNAUUUUUCCAUCUUCAGGCGGAUCGACGGUACAGCAAGAAUGCAAAGUUUAGAAACCGCUCGACACCAUUGAGAAAUGAAUCGGUAAUUUGAUUUUUCUCAUCUAGUCGGUUGUACAUCCAAUUUCGAUCAUUGCCGGCCAUUCUAUAAAAUAAUUGAAACAUGCAAAAAUGAGUUGCAUGUCCGCAUGAGUUUCAUGAAAAAUAUAUCAUGAAAAAUAAAAAAAUAAAUUAUAAAAAGAAAGGCUCAGCUCGGCUCGGGCUCAGCUAGGGCUUUGCAGGCUCAGCUUGGCUCGGCUCAGCUAGGGCUUGUCAGGCUCGGCUCAGCUCGGAAAAUCAUCUAAACACUACGAUUAAAUUUUUACAGACUGAUAAUGGGGGCCGGGGGCAUAUGUUAGUAAUGAGUUUAAAUAAUUCUAAGGAGAAAAUGGAAUUAGCCAUAUUUUCUGAUGCCCUCACACUCAUGAGAAGGUAACAAUUUCUUAAAGAAAUCAUAGGCAUAUUGUAGACAUGGGCUUAGGAUUGAUGAAAAAAACAUCAUUACCUCUAAACCUAUGGCCAUAUAAAUUUCAUUACCUCUAAACCUAUGGCCAUCAUCCCCAUAUGAUUUGGGGAAAUAAGUUUAAAAUGACCUAAUUUAACAUAAUUUGGAAAAACAUUUAAAAGGACUAAAAUGACUUAACUUAGUUUAUACUUUUGGGGAUAUUACAAUUUAACUGAAACCUCUUAAAAAUCAAUAUUUAAAUGAAAAAGGUAUUAAAAUAAGUAUUCAAAAAAUUUAUACAAAAAUAACUAACUCUAAAACAUUUCUAAAUAAUAUAAAAUCUAGCAUAAUAUAACACUAUAAAACUAUAAAAUUAAACACGAUGUGAAUCAUAUGAUAGUCGAUAGAAACUAAGAGUUUAUAAAUCGCAAGCAUUCAUUUAUUUUGAAAUCGCAAACUCGAAUUAAACCUAGAGUUUAUUGAAAUCGCAGUCAUUCAUUCAUUCAUUUAAUGAAUCCAAACCAUUUAUUAUUUCCAUUAUCAAAACCAACUUCUUAAAUCUUUAUUUUAUUGAUUGGAAAUGGUUAAUAUAACAUUUUAUGUUCUGGUAAAGAUGAAAAAUAUGGUUGUAAUUGUAAGUGAUUUAUAAUUUUAUACAUACACUGCAUGCAUCGGCAGAACUUUUGAAAAUAUUUGCACAACUUUUGCAAAUAUUGGGAGAGAUGCUGGAAUAUUGCUGGGCUGGACAAAACUACAAUAACUUGCUGGCAAAUACUGUGGAUGUAGAAGGGAAGAAGACAAGUUCUUUGAUAGUUUUGAAAACUUUGUUUUAAUUUAAUUUUUAUUAACUUCACUGAAAAUAUCAUUCACCCAAUCAUAAUUCAGCUAUUCAGAGGCGAAAAAUCUGGCGAGAAGGAGAGUUGAGAAAAAUCCGGCGAGAAGGAUUUGGGGAAAUUUGGGAAAAAUUUGGGGUAAAUGGAGGGUUUAGGUUUAGGGGAAGUAUUUGGGGAAAUUUGGGAAUUUAAUUGGGUAAUUUAAUAAAUUGGUCCUAAUUUAAUAAAUUGGUCCUAAUUUAAUAAAUUGGGUUUUGGGGGUUUUGGGGGGAAAUCGAUUUGGGAGGGGGGAAAUAACAUUACUUUUGGGAAGAGAUAAGUUGGAUAAAUGGAACGAAUGAGAUGUUAUAUCUCAUUAUCCAAGAUGUCUCAUAUGAAUCAUUCUCAUGAGAUAUAAUACUCCAUAACCAGAAAUGAUUGAAAGGGAUAAAUGAGAUAUUGAUAGUUGAGAAUUUAUCUCACAUAUGAAUCUCAUGUGAGCGGACCAAGAAGUAACAAAUUGUGUUUGCAAAUUUGCAAUUAUAAUAACACCUUUUGUUUUGUUUUUGUGAUUUCUUUCCCUGCAGAAUAUGCAUAUACAAUGAAGGUAACAGAGAAAAGUGAUAUCUAUAGCUACGGAGUUGUUUUGCUAGAACUGGUGAUAGGGAGAAAAUCUGUACAACAAUUAGAAGGAAGUGAAUGUGAUGGUGAUCUUGUGAGUUGGGUAAGAGAUUGUGUUAGAAAUAAUGACUUGAGUUAUGAGAUACUUGACAGUAGAGUAAAUUUAGAUAAUAAGAACACGGCCAGAGGAAAGUCUACGGAAAAGCAUUUAAAAUUAAAAGGUAAAUAAAACUCACCAGAGGAAAGUCGCUUCUGUCACCGGAGGAACUCCUCGCCACGUCGCCGGAGGUUGGAUUGGAAAAUCGCCGGAGAGUGUAAGGAGGGAAGAAAAGAUGAUGUAGGAUUUGGGGUUUUUUU
rnacentral:lncRNA from 1 species